rfam:Blastomonas sp. AAP25 AAP25_Contigs_5, whole genome shotgun sequence.
GUAGCGGGCCGGGCCCCUCUGGCGACGAAUGAUGCCUUGCACAUUCGGCGUGAUGUCGGACCGCUACG